AGCAGUCAGCUCUGCCUUGGAGUCCACACUGGCAGAUGCUGACGCCAUAACUACUAUGAGGAAUGACAGGAAAGUUGCCGUUCAAUUCAAAACCUCCACCCUCACUGUUAAAAUCUGCCUCAUGUGUAACAGCUAGUGCAGUAGUCUCCAGGGACUACAACUGUCAAGACCGCAGGAAUGAUCAAAACCAACCAAACAACAAGGAAGUACAUGAAAGCAGUCAGUUUGAUUGCAGGCAGCAUCACGUUAUGCAUUUCUUCGCACCCAGAUGAUGUAAACAACAUGCGUCCUUUGAGUCGCUGCGCCUUGGCUAAACAAGCCAGCUAACUGGAGUCGGGCUACUCAUGACGAUGUAAAAGUGCUCACUUUAAAACCUACAGUUGGAUAUUCUUCCGACGUGUAUACCCGUACCGUGUAAAGUGAAACACUUUCAGAAUGUCGGAGAGCGCUCCGUUUAUUACAGCCAAUGUUGGCAUUAGCCAUGUGCUAGCGGCAUCGCUGGUAAACCUGGUUAUUUAGCUAGCUAACAUGCUAACUUCACCUCAAUGUUCCGUUCAGUUCCUCAGUUUUGUCAGAAGUUUCCAAGACCUAAUUAUGUCGAUACGGAUCCAAACCCGACUGCCGCAAGUUAACGGUACACGGGGAAUUUCACAGCCAAACCUUAAAGUGUAUAAUGUGGCUUUUUUGUUGUUGGUUUACUGUCAUUAUGGCGAACACGUUCCCGACGUCAUCGCAGCUGCGACAGUCCAUUUAUUAUGACGACAGCACACGAAGUAAAAUAUUAGAAAAUACAAUUUAUUCGAAUUUCUCAAUGAAUACAUGUUGUUCGAAUAUUUAUGCAAAAGCAUAAGCAGUCUUUCAUAAUUAUACAAAACAUUUAAAGUGAAAAAUAUACAUUUGUUUGAAAUAUUGUGACAGAAAUCAUACAGAAAAAUAAAAAAGUAAGAUAAAUUCAAUCUACAAUGCAUUUAA